rnacentral:misc_RNA from 1 species
GAUGAAGAACGUAGCGAAAUGCGAUAAGUAAUGUGAAUUGCGGAAUUCAGUGAAUCAUCGAAUCUUUGAACGCACAUUGCGCCCGCCAGUAUUCUGGCGGGCAUGCCUGUCCGAGCGUCAUUUCAACCCUCGAACCCCUCCGGGGGGUCGGCGUUGGGGAUCGGCCCUUUACGGGGCCGGCCCCGAAAUACAGUGGCGGUCUCGCCGCAGCCUCUCCUGCGCAGUAGUUUGCACACUCGCAUCGGGAGCGCGGCGCGUCCACAGCCGUUAAACACCCCAAACUUCUGAAAUGUUGACCUCGGAUCAGGUAGGAAUACCCGCUGAACUUAAGCAUAUCAAUAAGCGGAGGA